UGGGGAAUAUUGCACAAUGUGCGAAAGCCUGAUGCAGCGACGCCGCGUGAGGGAUGACGGCCUUCGGGUUGUAAACCUCUUUCAGCAGGGACGAAGCGCAAGUGACGGUACCUGCAGAAGAAGCACCGGCUAACUACGUGCCAGCAGCCGCGGUAAUACGUAGGGUGCAAGCGUUGUCCGGAAUUACUGGGCGUAAAGAGUUCGUAGGCGGUUUGUCGCGUCGUUUGUGAAAACCAGCAGCUCAACUGCUGGCUUGCAGGCGAUACGGGCAGACUUGAGUACUGCAGGGGAGACUGGAAUUCCUGGUGUAGCGGUGAAAUGCGCAGAUAUCAGGAGGAACACCGGUGGCGAAGGCGGGUCUCUGGGCAGUAACUGACGCUGAGGAACGAAAGCGUGGGUAGCGAACAGG
rnacentral:rRNA from 1 species